AGAUUGAGCGCUGGCGGCAUGCCUAACACAUGCAAGUCGAACGGGAGUAGCAAUACUCUAGUGGCGGACGGGUGAGGAAUACGUAGGAAUUUGCCCUUAAGUGGGGGAUAACCCGGGGAAACCCGGAUUAAUACCGCAUGACCUCGAAAGAGCAAAGUGGGGGAUCGCAAGACCUCACGCUUUUGGAGAAGCCUACGUCGGAUUAGCUAGUUGGUGAGGUAAUGGCUCACCAAGGCGACGAUCCGUAACUGGUCUGAGAGGAUGAUCAGUCACACCGGAACGAGACGACGGU
rnacentral:rRNA from 1 species